GGGCCAUUGGAAACUGGGGAACUUGAGGACCCGAAGAGGAGAGCGGCAAUUCCACGUGUAGCGGUGAAAUGCGUAGAUAUGUGGAGGAACACCAGUGGCGAAGGCGGCUCUUUGGUCUGUAACUGACGCUGAGGCGCGAAAGCAUGGGUAGCGAACAGGAUUAGAUACCCUGGUAGUCCAUGCCGUAAACGUUGAGUGCUAGGUGUUAGGGGGUCCAACCCUUAGUGCUGCAGUUAACGCAAUAAGCACUCCGCCUGGGGAGUACGGCCGCAAGGCUGAAACUCAAAGGAAUUGACGGGGGCCUGCACAAGCGGUGGAGCAUGUGGUUUAAUUCGACGCAACGCGAAGAACCUUACCAGGUCUUGACAUCUUCGGACAGCCCAAGAGAUUGGGUCUUCCCUUCGGGGACCGAAUGACAGGUGGUGCAUGGUUGUCGUCAGCUCGUGUCGUGAGAUGUUGGGUUAAGUCCCGUAACGAGCGCAACCCCUGAUCUUAGUUGCCAGCAUUGAGUUGGGCACUCUAGGAUGACUGCCGGUGACAAACCGGAGGAAGGCGGGGAUGACGUCAAAUCAUCAUGCCCCUUAUGACCUGGGCUACACACGUGCUACAAUGGAUGGUACAAAGGGAAGCCAAACCGCGAGGUCGAGCUAAUCCCAUAAAGCCAUUCUCAGUUCGGAUUGUAGGCUGCAACUCGCCUGCAUGAAGCCGGAAUCGCUAGUAAUCGCGGAUCAGAAUGCCGCGGUGAAUACGUUCCCAGGCCUUGUACACACCGCCCGUCACACCACGAGAGUUGGCAACACCCGAAGUCGGUGAGGUGAACGAUCACGCUGCACAGCCAACGUCAGGGUGGGCCAAUAACCC
rnacentral:rRNA from 1 species